rnacentral:rRNA from 1 species
UACGUAGGUGGCAAGCGUUGUCCGGAUUUACUGGGCGUAAAGAGCGCGCAGGCGGUCGUUCAAGUCGCGUGUGAAAGCCCCCGGCUCAACUGGGGAGGGUCACGCGAUACUGAUCGACUGGAAGGCAGGAGAGGGUAGUGGAAUUCCCGGUGUAGUGGUGAAAUGCGUAGAUAUCGGGAGGAAUACCAGAGGCGAAGGCGGCUACCUGGACAAUUGCUGACGCUCAGGCACGAAAGCGUGGGGAGCAAAAGGG